CUGCGAUAAGCGCCGGUAAGGUGAUAUGAACCGUUAUAACCGGCGAUACCCGAAUGGGGAAACCCAGUGUGACUCGUCACACUAUCAUUAACUGAAUCCAUAGGUUAAUGAGGCGAACCGGGGGAACUGAAACAUCUAAGUACCCCGAGGAAAAGAAAUCAACCGAGAUUCCCCCAGUAGCGGCGAGCGAACGGGGAGGAGCCCAGAGCCUGAAUCAGCAUGUGUGUUAGUGGAAGCGUCUGGAAAGGCGCGCGAUACAGGGUGACAGCCCCGUACACAAAAGCGCAUGUGCUGUGAGCUCGAUGAGUAGGGCGGGACACGUGGUAUCCUGUCUGAAUAUGGGGGGACCAUCCUCCAAGGCUAAAUACUCCUGACUGACCGAUAGUGAACCAGUACCGUGAGGGAAAGGCGAAAAGAACCCCGGCGAGGGGAGUGAAAAAGAACCUGAAACCGUGUACGUACAAGCAGUGGGAGCACCCUU
rnacentral:rRNA from 1 species